AUACGUAGGGGGCGAGCGUUGUCCGGAAUGACUGGGCGUAAAGGGCGUGUAGGCGGCCGAUUAAGUCUGGAGUGAAAGUCCCGCUUUCAAGGUGGGAAUUGCUUUGGAGACUGGUUGGCUUGAGUGCGGAAGAGGUAAGUGGAAUUCCCAGUGUAGCGGUGAAAUGCGUAGAGAUUGGGAGGAACACCAGUGGCGAAGGCGACUUACUGGGCCGUAACUGACGCUGAGGCGCGAAAGCGUGGGGAGCGAACAGGAUUAGAUACCCUGGUAGUCCACGCGGUAAACGAUGAAUGCUAGGUGUUGCGGGUAUCGACCCCUGCAGUGCCGGAGUAAACACAAUAAGCAUUCCGCCUGGGGAGUACGGCCGCAAGGUUGAAACUCAAAUGAAUUGGCGGGG
rnacentral:rRNA from 1 species